CGGACGGGUGAGUAAUGUCUGGGAAACUGCCUGAUGGAGGGGGAUAACUACUGGAAACGGUAGCUAAUACCGCAUAACGUCGCAAGACCAAAGAGGGGGACCUUCGGGCCUCUUGCCAUCGGAUGUGCCCAGAUGGGAUUAGCUAGUAGGUGGGGUAACGGCUCACCUAGGCGACGAUCCCUAGCUGGCCUGAGAGGAUGACCAGCCACACUGGAACUGAGACACGGUCCAG
rnacentral:rRNA from 1 species